rnacentral:rRNA from 1 species
ACGUCUAAGGCCCAGGUGGAUUGGUACCCCGACGUCUGCCAUUUGGCGGUCGAAGGGGGAAACCUCUGGUGUCCUGGCAGCCCUGCGACGGUCGUGUAGCAGAGUGAUAUCGAGCACUCUCGCGGCGUGCAAAAGGUCGGUGACCCACCCGACCCGUCUUGAAACACGGACCAAGGAGUCUAACAUGUGUGCGAGUCAUUGGGCGCACUAAACCCAGAGGCGUAAUGAAAGUGAAAGGAGGGCGUCCCUUGGUCUUCGGGCCUUGGUCGGCGUCCUCCGGGGCCGAUCCCCGACCGGCCGUUGCCGCCCAGCUUCCCAUACCAAAGCGAGGUCAUCCCAAAGGGGACGCGCGGGGUGAGUCCCUCUCCCCCGUUGUGUUUCUGGCUUCGUGGGCUCUGGGCGCGCACGACGGUCCGGCUCCUUCGCGGGAGUCGCCUGUACGCAGGGGGGCGCAGGCCCGGGACUUGCCAUUCGACGCCGUCGCGCAAAUCUGUUGUUGGCCUCGCCGGCUCUGCUUGGGCUCUCGGUUGGUGGUCCGCGCGUCAGGCGGGCUUUGGGCGGGGGUUUCGGCCCUCGCUCGGGUUCGU